GUAAAGUGUUCGAUAAAAUGCCUGCACAACUUGUUCUUCGCAUUAACCAACUGUGUUAGGUUGUGGUGUUGUGCAACUGAUGAUGAAUUACAACUUACAUAAGGAAAAUGAUAGGUUAUAUCUAUAUAAGAAAGACUGACUUGUUGGAUGAUACGGUGCAUGAGAUUGUAUGUGCUUCGUAUUGGAAAAUUCAAUUUAUAGAAAUUUCAAGCAUAUUUUACAUAUUUGAAAUCCAAGCAUAUUCUGGAGUGACACUGACAUGGGGGGAAGCCUUUGUAUAUUAUAAAUAUGAAUAUCCAAGAUUCCAACACGCACCAGAGCAGUAAGCUUUGCUAGUUCCUUUACAAGAAUCCAAAGCACUGUUUCAGUGGUUUCAGAGACCCACUAGGUGUAAAGCACCGAGCUUUUAUACUUCAUCCACUAAGCCACGCGCCUCCUUCAACAGGUGCAUUGAUUCAGAACUUAUCUGACUGGGAAAAGCUUUGGGAUUUAGACUCGACUUUCAUGGAGAUCUCUCUGGAAAUUGUCAAUGUUGGGUUUUCCAUAGUGUUAUUGACGUGGGUUUUGCUAGAUACACUGAGAAGAAGAAGAAGAAGAGAUGGUACCGAAAAUGAGACAUACUUGAGAGACAGAGCAAGCAGAGGAUGUAAAGGUUUUGCUUUGAUAACCCUUAUUGUAAAUGCCUUAAUCUCAGUGUUCUACGUUGUUUUUGGAAUUUAUGACUACUACGGUGGUGGAAAUGUAAGUUUGAAAUCAAUCUUUUCUGGGAUGACUUGGGUUUUGGCAACAAUGGUGACAAUCUACUCCAAGAACAGAGGUUUUAGUGAGCACAGAAGGUGGCCUUGGGUCCUCAUUUUUUGGUGGAUCUUCUCCUUCAUUUUUUGCUCACUUUCAGUGUGCCUAUACUUCAUCACCCACUUCUUAAAAUCUACAAAGUUGCCAGAUAUUCUUCCAAAGGCUAACAUAGUCGAAUUUGCUUCCUUACCUCUGUCAAUGUUACUUUGUUGCAAUGCUUUGAGUUAUGUCCGGAAAGACAGUGAUCUUAAAGAACCAUUACUCGAGAAGGAGUUUGAAAUUCACACUGAUAGUUACGGUGAUGCUGGGAUUUGGAGCAAAGUCACAUUCCGAUGGCUAAAUCCACUUUUCAAGAGGGGUCGAAACCAAAAGCUGGAAUUACAGCAUAUACCAUCUGUCCCUCUUUCAGAAAGAGCAGCAAAUGCUUCAGCUUUGCUCGAAGGAUCAUUCCGGAAACACAAGAUGGAAGAUUCUUCAUUGCCAAAAGCCAUAAUUCGGGCCGUAUGGAAAUCAUUAGCUGUAAAUGCAGUUUUUGCAGGAGUUAAUACUACUGCAUCAUAUAUGGGACCAUUCCUAAUUACAAACUUUGUGAACUAUUUACUGGAAAAGCAUGAUGAUUCAAGCAUUCAUCAUGGAUUGAUUCUUGCAUUUAUAUUCUUCAUUGCGAAGACAAUGGAAUCACUGAGUCAAAGGCAGUGGUAUUUUGGUGCUCAGAUAAUUGGUGUACGCGUUCGAGCAGCUCUCAGUGUGUUGAUUUACAAGAAGUCUAUUUCGAUCAAGUAUUCUGGUCCAAGCAAUGGGAAAAUGAUUAAUUUGAUCAAUGUGGAUGUAGAAAGAAUCGGAGACUUCUGCUGGUACAUUCAUGGAAUUUGGUUGCUUCCUCUUCAAGUCUUCUUGGCCUUGGUUAUCCUUUACAGGAAUCUCGGCGCUGCCCCCUCUGCUGCUGCUCUUAUUGCCACAGUUUUGGUCAUGGUUUGCAACACACCUUUGGCCAACAUGCAAGAAAGGCUUCAUUCCAAGAUGAUGGAGGCGAAGGAUUCACGAAUUAAAGUAACAUCAGAGACUCUCAAAAGCAUGCGAGUUUUGAAGCUGCAUUCUUGGGAAUCCACAUUCUUGAAGAAGCUGCUUCAGCUGAGGGAAACUGAGAGGAGUUGGCUGAAGAGAUACCUCUAUACAUGCUCAGUAGUGGCUUUUCUCUUCUGGGCUUCACCUACUCUGGUUUCAGUUGCCACUUUUGGUGUAUGCAUUAUACUCAAUACACCAUUAAACACAGGAACUGUCCUGUCUGCUUUGGCUACUUUUAGAAUUCUUCAAGAGCCCAUCUACAACCUCCCAGAGCUCAUUUCCAUGAUUGCUCAAACAAAGGUAUCUGUUGAUCGUAUCAAAGAAUUCAUCAAAGAAGAUCAAUUGAAGCUAAUUCCUGGUCAUACUUCAAAAGAAUCCAACGUCAUGAUUGUAAUUGAGACAGGAGAAUAUGCAUGGAAAACAAGCGAUCAGAACUUAAAGAAGCCUACAAUCAAAAUAGUGGAGAAGAUAGAGAUAAUGAAAGGUUACAAGGUAGCAAUUUGCGGUUCUGUUGGUUCGGGCAAGUCAAGCUUACUAAGUAGUAUACUUGGGGAGAUUCCCAAAAUUUCUGGGGUAGGAGCAAAGGUUUAUGGGACAAAAGCUUAUGUUCCACAAAGUUCUUGGAUUCAAACUGGAACUGUAAGGGAGAAUGUGUUGUUUGGCAAGGAGAUGAUUGGGGGUUAUUAUGAGAAUGUUUUGGAGGCUUGUGCUUUGGACCAGGAUGUCAAAAUGUGGGAAGAUGGAGAUUUGACUAUAGUGGGGGAGAGAGGGAUGAACCUAAGUGGCGGAGAAAAACAAAGGAUUCAACUGGCAAGAGCAGUCUAUAGUGAUUCCGAUGUAUAUAUCUUGGAUGAUCCUUUUAGUGCUGUUGAUGCACAUACAGGAACACACUUGUUCAAGAAAUGUCUCUUGCAACUCUUGUCUCUAAAGACUGUCAUCUAUGCUACCCACCAAUUAGAAUUUCUAGAAGCAGCGGACCUAGUCUUGGUAAUUAAAGGUGGUCAGAUUGCUCAAUCUGGAAAAUAUGAAGAUUUGAUUGCCGACCUCAAUGGUGAACUUGUCAGACAAAUGGCUGCACAUAGGAAAUCGUUAGACCAAGUUAACAGAUGCCAAAUAGAUGUUUCCUUAAAGAUUAGACCUCAUCAAGUUAAUCUAAUAGACGUUGUGGAAGAGAAAGGGCCUUUCAACAAUGGCAAUCUUCCGGAAAAGAGUCACGAAGAAGAAGCAGAAACUGGUCCAGUGAAAUUGAGUGUUUAUUCCACCUUUGUAACUUCUGCUUAUGGAGGUGCUCUUGUCCCAGUUAUCCUUCUCUGCCAAGUCCUCUUCCAGGGGCUGCAAAUGGGCAGCAACUACUGGAUGGCUUGGGGAACAGAGAAGGAAGGUAGGGUCAGUAGAGAGCGAUUGAUAUGGGUAUUUAUUAUGUUGUCUGGAGGGAGCUCCAUCUUCAUAUUGGGGAGGGCAGUUUUUCUGGCAACUAUUGCUAUACAGACUGCUCAGAGUCUCUUCCUUAGAAUGGUAACUUCAGUAUUCCGAGCACCCAUCUCAUUUUUCGACUCCACUCCUUCUAGCCGAAUCCUGAAUAGGUCUUCCACGGAUCAAAGCACUGUAGACAUGGACAUUCCUUAUAGAUUAGCUGGAUUAGCAUUUGCACUGAUCCAACUAACAAGCAUCAUAGUCCUUAUGUCUCAAGUGGCUUGGCAAGUUUUCCUUCUUUUCCUCGGGGUUCUUGGACUCUCCAUAUGGUAUCAAGCCUAUUACAUUACCACAGCUAGAGAACUUGCGAGGAUGGUUGGAAUUCGGAAGGCUCCAAUCCUCCAUCACUUCUCAGAAUCAAUCACAGGGGCAGCAACAAUUCGUUGUUUCAACCAAGAAAACCGCUUCUUGAUGAAGAUAAUGAACCUCAUUGACGAUUAUUCUCGUGUAGCCUUUCACAAUUAUGCCACAAUGGAAUGGUUAUCGGUCCGAAUCAAUUUUCUGUUCAACCUUGUAUUCUUCCUUGUUCUUGUCAUUUUAGUGAGCUUGCCAAGGUCUGCCAUUAACCCUAGUUUGGCAGGACUGGCAGCUACCUAUGGUUUGAACCUCAAUGUUCUCCAGGCUUGGGUGAUAUGGAAUUUGUGUAAUGUGGAAAACAAAAUGAUAUCAGUGGAGAGGAUCCUUCAAUUCACAAAUAUUCCAAGUGAGGCACCACUAGUCAUUGAAGAUUGUAGACCAAACCCUGAAUGGCCAACAGUCGGAAAAAUUGAACUUGAAAACCUUCAUGUUCAGUAUGAUCCAGCUCUUCCAAUGGUUCUCAAAGGGAUCAGUUGCACCUUCCCUGGACAAAAGAAAAUUGGAGUUGUGGGCAGGACGGGGAGUGGAAAAUCUACCUUGAUCCAAGCUCUUUUUAGAGUAGUAGAGCCCUCUGGUGGACAUAUACUAAUAGAUGGUGUUGAUAUUUCUAAAAUAGGUCUGCAAGACUUGAGAUCAAGGUUGGGAAUAAUUCCACAAGACCCAACAUUAUUUCAAGGAACCAUGAGGACAAAUCUGGAUCCUCUGCAACAGCAUUCAGAUCAAGAAAUCUGGGAGACUUUUGACUGUUCAACCCAUUCCACGUAGAACGCGUUGAAAUGUCAAAGAGUCCACGUAAGACCCUGACCUUUCAACGCACUUAAACCCUUCAUCGAGAAAGAAAAGAUAAUCCUAAGAUGAAAAUAACCAUGACUAGUGAGAUGCCUCACUUUGGUACUCCAAGUCUUCAACCUAAGAUCUCCACCUCUCAGGUCUUGGACAGUCACCAUGUGAUUGACUCACCACCUUGGAUGGCAAGGCAAAAGCAUAUCACGACCUCAUUACUAGAAAAGCAUAGUCCAAAGGAAUCAAGAGCCUCAAACCCCAAGACCAAUAGUUCGACCCCCAAGCUUAAAAGCCUCGACCUCUAAGAAUCAUGAUCACGAGCUCCAAGGCUAAAGCCUGGACUAUCAACUCACUCUCAGACAAAGUCAUUGCAAUGGGACAUAGUUAGCGGAAAUCAAGGGCUAACUCUCACCUACUAGGCCAGGUGUCGUGCUCUGAUGAUGAGUAUGGUCCGUGGGCAUGGCCCAAGAGUGAUGUGAAAGGAAGGGACCACAGAGUUAUGACACCUGUCACCAACUCUGUCAAAUGGAGUGUCAGGAAGCAGAAAUUACGGGCUGACACCCCGAUUUUAGGGAAGAGCCCAUACCGUCCCUUUCCACCUCAACUACUCCUUCUCCUAUAAAUACCACUCUUUCACAAGCAGAGGAGGGGACUUCAGCUCUCUCUUUUCUCCCAACACUAUGCUAAAAUAUCUAUGCUAUGAAGCUCUUCCAACUAGAGGCUGUGGACACCUAACAAAGGAGCGUGGAUGCCCAACGCCAGGUGAAGGAAGUCCGAGACGAGGCUAUCAGUUUCACCCAACGAGGAGCGUGGAUGCCCAACAUCAGGCGAAGGAAGUCUGAGGCGAGGCUACCAGUUUCACCCAACCAAGGAGCGUGGAUGCCCAACGCCAGGUGAAGGAAGUCCGAGACGAGGCUAUCAGUUUCACCCAACGAGGAGCGUGGAUGCCCAACAUCAGGCGAAGGAAGUCUGAGGCGAGGCUACCAGUUUCACCCAACCAAGGAGCGUGGAUGCCCAACGCCAGGUGAAGGAAGUCCGAGACGAGGCUAUCAGUUUCACCCAACGAGGAGCGUGGAUGCCCAACAUCAGGUGAAGGAAGUCCGAGACGAGGCUAUCAGUUUCACCCAACGAGGAGCGUGGAUGCCCAACAUCAGGCGAAGGAAGUCUGAGGCGAGGCUACCAGUUUCACCCAACCAAGGAGCGUGGAUGCCCAACGCCAGGUGAAGGAAGUCCGAGACGAGGCUAUCAGUUUCACCCAACGAGGAGCGUGGAUGCCCAACAUCAGGCGAAGGAAGUCUGAGGCGAGGCUACCAGUUUCACCCAACCAAGGAGCGUGGAUGCCCAACGCCAGGUGAAGGAAGUCCGAGACGAGGCUAUCAGUUUCACCCAACGAGGAGCGUGGAUGCCCAACAUCAGGCGAAGGAAGUCUGAGGCGAGGCUACCAGUUUCACCCAACCAAGGAGCGUGGAUGCCCAACGCCAGGUGAAGGAAGUCCGAGACGAGGCUAUCAGUUUCACCCAACGAGGAGCGUGGAUGCCCAACAUCAGGUGAAGGAAGCCCGAGGCAAAACUAUCAGUUUCACCCAACAAAGGGGCUUGGACGCCCAACACCAGGUGAAGGAAGCCCGAGGCCAUACCUUCAGUCACAAGAGGUGGACGACCAAGGCCACACAUAUAAUCAAACUAAUCGAAUGAAGAGAUAGGCCCACUUCAAGAAAGCAAGCCCACCACUUUACACUUGGAUUUCAAUGGAAAUUCCGUUGACUCGUUGAUGCCGAAAUCGACACCAACAAUAUGGUUGUUCUUGUAAAGUUCAAAAAUGAUGCAACAACAUUGUACAAUAUGAUCCAGUUGACAACAUUUGCAUGCCUUAACAAAUUGCAGAAUGUUUUCAAGGCAUGCAAAUGUUGUGAACUAGCUCGUACAUCAAAUUGCACAAUGUUGUUAAGGAUAGGUUCUCAAUCAGUGUCGACUUGCAGAGAUAGUCAGGCAAGACCAAAGGCUUCUUGAUGCACCUGUUGCUGAAGAUGGAGAAAACUGGAGUGUGGGACAGAGGCAGCUUGUGUGCCUGGCACGAGUACUCCUAAAGAAAA